GCGGACGUGGCUCAGUGGUAGAGCAUCACCUUGCCAAGGUGAGGGUC
rnacentral:tRNA from 1 species